rnacentral:rRNA from 1 species
AACAGGAUUAGAUACCCUGGUAGUCCACGCCCUAAACGACGUCUACUAGUUGUCGGGUCUUAAUUGACUUGGUAACGCAGCUAACGCGUGAAGUAGACCGCCUGGGGAGUACGGUCGCAAGAUUAAAACUCAAAGGAAUUGACGGGGACCCGCACAAGCGGUGGAUGAUGUGGAUUAAUUCGAUGCAACGCGAAAAACCUUACCUACCCUUGACAUGGAUGGAAUCCCGGAGAGAUUUGGGAGUGCUCGAAAGAGAACCAUCACACAGGUGCUGCAUGGCUGUCGUCAGCUCGUGUCGUGAGAUGUUGGGUUAAGUCCCGCAACGAGCGCAACCCUUGUCAUUAGUUGCUACGCAAGAGCACUCUAAUGAGACUGCCGGUGACAAACCGGAGGAAGGUGGGGAUGACGUCAAGUCCUCAUGGCCCUUAUGGGUAGGGCUUCACACGUCAUACAAUGGUACAUACAGAGGGCCGCCAACCCGCGAGGGGGAGCUAAUCCCAGAAAGUGUAUCGUAGUCCGGAUUGUAGUCUGCAACUCGACUGCAUGAAGUUGGAAUCGCUAGUAAUCGCGGAUCAGCAUGUCGCGGUGAAUACGUUUCCGGGUCUUGUACACACCGCCCGUCACACCAUGGGAGCGGGUUUUACCAGAAGUAGGUAGCUUAACCGCAAGGAGGGCGCUUACCACGGUAGGAUUCGUGACUGGGGUGAAGUCGUAACAAGGUAACC